GGCUGGAUCUUGCAUGCCUCCCCCACACUACUUCCUGUCCCUUUCCCAACUGAAUCUAAAGGCUCAUCUCAAGAAUGAUUUCGGAUCUGGAGUCGCCAAUGGAUUAUAUAACAAAGGAAAGACCAGCUUAAACAAAAGUGGACAUAUUCAUUUUGACUGAGCUUUACCAAUAGGAUGAAGAUAAUACUUAUUUGGUGCCAUUCUAAUCAAGCAAAGGAAUACUUGAGAAAACUAGAAAAAUAAUUACAAAAUUCAUGUGGAAGAAGAGAAUCCCAAAAUUCUCAAAAAGUCAGCUCAGGAGAGAUGGAAAACUAAAGAAAUAAUUGAACCUCUCAAGAAGGAAUAAUCUCCAUGAGAAGACAAAAAGAGACUAGCCUGAGGAGCCCUAUGUGAAUAAACUUAAAUUUUAAAAAGAAAAAUCUCAUAUUUUCUGUCCUAAAUCAAUAUUGUGUAUUGGUUCCAAGGAAGAAGAGCAGUAAGCGAUAGGUAAUGGAUAUUAAGUGAAUUGCCCAGUGUCAUAUAGCUAGGAAGUGUCUGAGAGCAGAUUUGAACCCAGGAUCCUGUGACCUAGUUGCCUCCCCCUGAUACUUAAUUUUUUUUAAAGAUGGUUUCAGAUGAUGGAAGCAAAAGCAAUGACAGAGCAAAGGCACAUGUCUGAAGAGCAAAAGACCUAAGGCUAGCAAGAAAAACUAAAGACAACCAAAAGGACGUUUUUUGUGGGUUUUUUGUAAAGCUGUUUGAGAUCAAUGGUAUAAUACCUGACAUUAAAGAGAAAGUAGCGCAACUCAAAUCCUAUUUUUAUUCUGCUUUCUCUGCCAAAGAGAAUGAUCUAUGAACAGGAAAGGUCAAAAAAUGAUAUGAUUAAUAGGUGAUUAGUAUGCAAGAUAAGUAAGGAGAUUAGAAGAGAAUCCCUAGAUGCCCUUGAUAAAUUCAAGUUCCUUGGCCAAUAUGAACUAUAUCCAAGAGUAGAGAUGAAGGGAAAAAAUUGGCAGAUGUUACUGAUAAACCAUAGUAUAAAUUAGAAAUAUGGUAGAGAAGGAUCCCAGGCAUGGAGAAAGUAAAUGUCUUGAUAUUCAAAAAAUGGAAAGAAACAAAAUCUGCAAACCAUUGACUAGUGAACUGGUCUUUAAUUCAUAAGAAAAUUCUAGGAGGGAUAAAGAAGCUAAAAUAUUAGGAAUGAUCAUAAAGAGCCAAUAGGUUUAGGAGACAGCUAACUGGCUCACUGGAUUGAGAGCCAGGCCUAGAGACAGGAGGUCCUAGGUUCAAAUUUGUCUCAGACACUUACUAGCUGUGACCCUGGGUAAGUCACUCAAUUCCCAUUGCUUAGUCCUUACUGCUUUUCUGCGUUGGAACCAAUAAA